ACCAACCGUUUACAAUUAUAACAUGCUAUGUGCAAUUAUCUAAUAACCCUUCCACAUUCUUUCGACAUGAUUUUUGUAUGCAAAUUAUAUUUCACUAUGCAUUAUGACUUGAUGAGUAUUUAUAAAGGAAUCUAGUCCUUUUUUAUCUUUUCUUCCGUGAUGUGUUGGGGUUGAAUGUUUAGAAGGGCUUUCAAAUGCUUCAAUUUGCCUAGCAAGUUUGAUCUUUUCAGUUCUGAUAUCUACUAGAUAUAAUUGUUUAUAUUCUUCAGCUAAUAGUUUUGGCCGGAACAUGUAAAUGCUUUUAUACAUUGAUUCCUACGUUAUUAUUAAAGAACAAUUUGAGAUUGAGUGCCAAUCUCUUAUUCUUGCUGUUGGUUCAUUAGUUUCUUUAUUUUUCAAGUCUUGUUUAAGAAAAGAGAAGCACAAGGAGUAUCGACAGAUUUGAAAAAAGAAGAAGAGAUAAGUAUGAAAGUAUUGCUUGAAGGAAGCUACUAUAACUCAUGGUUUGCCAAAUGCUACCUUGGGAAAUUGAUGUGACGAGAUGUUCUUUAUUUUGAUUGCUUGAAUUAGGUGAGAAGUCACUCUUCUUCAAAAAAGGCAAACCAGUGGGUGUGCUAAAAAUUUGGUGGCUCAUCAACACAUUGUUGGUCGAUAGUAGAAUUUUGGGGGUCCAUCAUAAAUCUAUGGACUGAUAUGCUGAUUUAAUAGCGACUAAGCAUUAGUCAGUAGCUUAACCAAAGUAGAAACCAAAAGCAUCAGGAUUCAAUACUUUAAAUUCCGAUCAUGUCACCUAAUUAACUGGAUCAAUGUCGGGAUGAUUUAUGUGGGUAACCUUUGAAUAUAAAGCUGGACAGGUUUAGGUUUCUUCUAGAUUUUUCUAAUUUACUGGUGUAUCUUAUCUUGUUUGUUGAUCCUAUGUAAAUUUGUUCUUUGGCUAGACUGAUGGUUACGUUGGAUUAUCAUUUGACUUGUUAGGCUAAACAUGAGUUUAGUGCAUAUGUGAGAGCACAGGCUGAUACUUUUGUCAGAACAGUAUUAAUAUAAGUCAAGAUUCCUGGUUAAGAUGAAAGCUAGUCAAAUUUAACUCAAGUAAAUUGAUAUCAGGAUUUUGAAGCUUGAUGGAAUUUGGACACACUACAUGCUGAUUAAUGUCUUCCAAAUGCAACCUUGGGAAGUGGCCAUGGAGUCGAAUCUGGAAAACACAAGUUCAUUUUCAGUUGCUUGUUUUCCAUGGUUGGUAGACAAGGAAGCAUGCCUCAGACAAGACAAACUUCAGAGAAGGGGCCUUGCUAUUUGUAGCAGUUGCUAUUUCUAUUGAAAUGAAACAGAAGGUUGAUUGGUGUGUUUUGUUUGUGAGGAUAUCAUUAAAGCGUUUCUAAUUGACAUUUUCUGGAGCAAUUGUGAUUUAGAGAACAUCUAAAGUCGAUCAUGAAGAAUGCUAACUGAUACAUCAUUGCCUUCUUGAUGAAGUUUUGGUUUCAAAAUAAAAUCUUCAUCUAAAGAUUUAAUUUCAUGUGAAAAAGAAACGAAGGUCAGUUAGUUUUAUAUUCUAUUUUUAUUAGUUUUGUUUAUACCUAAACCAAAUAUGAGGAUUCAAAAAAAAAAAAUCUUUCUUCAAUUAUCUCCUCCUUUUUCUUUUUUCUUCCUUUGUUUUCAAAUAGAGGGUAAAGUUUCUAUAUCUAUAAAUAAAUAUUUUUUGCUAUGAAUUUUGGUAAAUUUUAUUGUGCCUUGCGGAGAAACACUUUUUUUUUUUAAGUGUGGGGAGAGUGCUAUGUGAAGAAUUUGACAUAUGUUGCAUCGUAUCAUGCAUUUUCUUACUUCUUACACCCUAUGCAUGGUUGUAAUUGAUAUUACAAUAUUGUGAAGAUCUAUUACUAUUAUAUUUAUCUAACAAAUUUUUA